GACGAACGCUGGCGGCGUGCUUAACACAUGCAAGUCGAACGGAAAGGCCCUGCUUUUGUGGGAUGCUCGAGUGCCGAACGGGUGUGUAUCACGUGUGUAACCUGCCCUUGUCUUUGGGAUAACUUCAUGAAACUCGGGCGAAUACCCGAUAUGAGCUCCUGCUGCAUGGUGGGUAUUGUAAAUUGUCGGCGGUUGGGGAUUGACUCGCGGCUUAUCAGCUUGUUGGUUGGGUAGUGGCUUACCAAGGCUUUGACGGGUAGCCGGCAUGAGAGGGUGACCGGGCACAAUGGGAUUGAGAUAGGGACAAGAGUGCAACGGGAGGCAGCAGUGGGGAAUAUUGCACAAAGGGCGGAAGCAGGAUGCAGAAACGUCGGGUGGGGGAUGACGGUCUUUGGGGUGUAAACCGCUUUAGAGUGUGACGAAGCGUGAGUGACGGUAAUGGGUAAAGAAGCAACGGCUAACUACGUG
rnacentral:rRNA from 1 species